rnacentral:rRNA from 1 species
UUGGGUCGCCGACCGCCCAUGCGGUUAUACUUKGARRYYWRSUGRAMMUWKWURUKUUUAGUUAGACGUAAAAAUUUGUAAAAUAGUAGAUAUUUGUAAUAAAGGGUAAAAUCAAGCUGUUACAGUAUAUAUAUAUACUUAAAUUGUAGUUGAAGCUAGUAAAUCUUAAUUAUAAACUAGGAUUAGAUACCCUAUUAUUUUAGGAGGUUAGAAUAAAACAAAUCAUUAAAAGAUAUAUGCUUUAAAAUUAAAAGAUUUGGCGGUGAUUUAAUCUUAUUAGAGGAACUUGUUCUGUAAUCGAUAAUCCACGUAAAAUUUUACUUGCUUUUGUAAAUCCAGUUUGUAUACCGUCAUUAUCAGGUAAUUCCAAAAGGAUUGAAUUUCUAAAUUUAAUUAAUUAGAUAAAUUAGAUCAAGGUGCAGCCUAUAAGCAAGUUGGAAUGAGUUACAAUAAAUUACUUUAUAACGCAAUAUUAGAUGAAAUUCUACUAAGAAGGAGGAUUUAAUUGUAUUGCAAGUUCGAAUAAGCUUGCGAGAAAUAAGCUCUAAAUCAUGUACAURKSUGCSCGWCGCUKCCMYUWMCWWKAUGAGAUAAGUCGUACAAAAAGUAGGG